AACAUGGCUCUUUGAAAUUUUUAUAUAAAGAGUCGGGCCUGCCCAGUGAUAAUAUUUAACGGCCGCGGUACUCUGACCGUGCGAAGGUAGCAUAAUCAUUUGCCUUAUAAUUAAGGGCUUGUAUGAACGGUCUGACAAGAGCAUUACUGUCUCCUUAAAAAUUUAUAAAAUUUGGUUUUUAGGUGAAGAAACCUAAAUAUAAUUGAAAGACAAGAAGACCCUAUCGAGCUUUAAAACAAUAAGUUAAAGAAUAUAAGUAUAAAAAUUAGUUUUAACCUAAAAUUUUGGUUGGGGCGACUGAGGAACAUACAAAGCUUCUUUUAUUAAAUAAUGCAUAUAAGCUAUGAUCCAAAAAAUUUGAUUAAAAAAAUUAGUUACCGUAGGGAUAACAGCAUAAUUUUUUUUAAGAGCUCUUAUCGAAAAAAAGGUUUGUGACCUCGAUGUUGGACUAGGAUAUCCUAAUAGAUGCAGAAGUCUUUAAAGGUGGGUCUGUUCGACCACUAAUAUCCUACGUGAU
rnacentral:rRNA from 1 species